rnacentral:rRNA from 1 species
UACGUAGGGUGCGAGCGUUAAUCGGAAUUACUGGGCGUAAAGCGUGCGCAGGCGGUGAUGUAAGACAGGUGUGAAAUCCCCGGGCUUAACCUGGGAACUGCAUUUGUGACUGCAUCGCUGGAGUGCGGCAGAGGGGGAUGGAAUUCCGCGUGUAGCAGUGAAAUGCGUAGAUAUGCGGAGGAACACCGAUGGCGAAGGCAAUCCCCUGGGCCUGCACUGACGCUCAUGCACGAGAGCUAGGGGAGCAAACAGG